UACAAGCUGCAUUGUUCGUAUUACAAUUAAGUUUUAACCUUUAUACAGUAAAAGGGAGUUUUACAUCGAAAUUGGAAUGGCAGGCUUUACACAUUAUUUGUAAAGACAAACAGGAAGAUUUCUGCAAGCACCCACUUGGAAAAGUGUGGUUUAAAACUUUCUAAAUAAAUACGGCAGAGGCGGCUUUGUA
rnacentral:other from 1 species